rnacentral:rRNA from 1 species
AAACUAACAAGGAUUCCCCUAGUAACUGCGAGUGAACAGGGAAAAGCUCAAAUUUAAAAUCUGGCAGCUUUGGCUGUCCGAGUUGUAAUCUGGAGAAGUGUUUUCAGUGCAGGACCGUGUACAAGUCUCUUGGAAUGGAGCAUCAUAGAGGGUGAGAAUCCCGUCUUUGACACGGACUACCUGUGCUUUGUGAUACACUCUCAAAGAGUCGAGUUGUUUGGGAAUGCAGCUCAAAAUGGGUGGUAAAUUCCAUCUAAAGCUAAAUAUUGGCGAGAGACCGAUAGCGAACAAGUACCGUGAGGGAAAGAUGAAAAGCACUUUGGAAAGAGAGUUAAACAGUACGUGAAAUUGUUGAAAGGGAAACGCUUGGAGUCAGUCGCGUUUGUUAGAACUCAGCUUGGCUUCUGCUUAGUGUACUUUCUAAUGAACGGGCCAACAUCGAUUUCAGUCAGUGGAUAAGGGUAAGAGGAAUGUGGCACCUUCGGGUGUGUUAUAGCCUCUUAUCGUAUACAUUUACUGGGAUCGAGGUCUGCAGCACUUGUGCUUAGGAUGUUGGCAUAAUGGCUUUAAUCGACCCGUCUUGAAACACGGACCAAGGAGUCUAACAUGCCCGCGAGUGUUAGGGUGGUAAACCCUUGCGCGUAAUGAAAGUGAAAGUUGGGACCUCUGUCAUGGGGGGCACCGACGCCCGGUCCAGAACUUCUGUGACGGUACUGCGGUAGAGCGUGUAUGUUGGGACCCGAAAGAUGGUGAACUAUGCCUGAAUAGGGUGAAGCCAGAGGAAACUCUGGUGGAGGCUCGUAGCGAUUCUGACGUGCAAAUCGAUCGUCAAAUUUGGGUAUAGGGGCGAAAGACUAAUCGAACCAUGCUAGUACUGUUCCUGN